AGCUCAGCCAGAAAUGCCAAAGCCAGAGCUCCCGGGUAUCAUGGCGCCAGCCGAGUCACCUUAAACCGUGCUGCUCUCCCUGCAGUGCCCACAGGCUCCGCUGAGGAGUGGGAGCCCUUGCUGGGAGGGCCAGGCCUGCCCUGCAAGGAGCUGGUGGGACCCUCAGAGCCCCUGCAGGGGGACGUGCCUGAGGCUGCGGCCUGAGGCUGGCUCCAGGCGACCUUCCUGCCAAGCCCUGGGACAGGAGGGGCAGCUGUGGCUUCCCCUCGAGCUAUAAAAAGCCCAAGCCCGGCCCAGCGAGCAGAGGGCAGAGCGAGGGACAGGACGCACAGGACUCGGAGCGCAGAGCUUGGCCCAGCAACAUGAGGUUGGGCCCCGCCAUCAGGCUGCUGCAAGCCCCCCUGCGGGCCUGUGUGGUCCCCAAGGCGCACAUCUCCGCCAAGCCGGCCAAAACACCCACUUCUGCCCCCGAGCAGGCCGUGGCGCUCGUGGCGACGUUCCUCAGCUUCAUGGUCCCCGCCGGCUGGGUGCUGUCCCACCUGGACAGCUACAAGAGCCGCUCCGCCGAGUGAGGCUCUGCCCAGCCAGGCGGGCGGCCGCCGCCGUGGACACGGGAGGGGGCGCUCAUUAAACCCUCCCCCACCGAA